rnacentral:tRNA from 1 species
GGGCUUGUGGAGGUAGUGGUAACCUCGCUAGGUUUGGCACCGAGAGUUGUGAGUUCGAUUCUCGCCAAGUCCA